rnacentral:rRNA from 1 species
CACGCCAUAAACGAUGAAUGCUAGGUAUUGGGGUUACUCAGUGCCGACGUAAACACAAUAAGCAUUCCGCCUGGGGAGUACGUGCGCAAGCAUGAAACUCAAAGGAAUUGACGGGGACCCGCACAAGCAGCGGAGCAUGUGGUUUAAUUCGAAGCAACGCGAAGAACCUUACCAGGUCUUGACAUCCUUUGCACGUUUUAGAGAUAGAACAUUCCCUUCGGGGACAAAGAGACAGGUGG